rnacentral:rRNA from 1 species
UAGGGAAUCUUCCACAAUGGGCGAAAGCCUGAUGGAGCAACGCCGCGUGAGCGAAGAAGGUCUUCGGAUCGUAAAGCUCUGUUGUAAGGGAAGAACAAGUGCAGUAGUAACUGGCUGCACCUUGACGGUACCUUACGAGAAAGCCACGGCUAACUACGUG